CAUUCACUUGUGAAAUACAUUUCGUCUGUGUUGCACCUACAGCCUUCUCAAAAACUCAUCAUCUCUAAAUAUGGACCUUGUAGAAACAGUAAAAUGAUGGUUCACAGAAACCCCAUGCUCCUUAAAGGAUACAUGGAGAAAGGAGGAAUAAGUUCAAGACAGCACCAUGCCAAUGGUUGUAACACUGUAUAAUAUACUUGAAAAUUAAAAAGAGAGCUGACCUUAGAUGACUUCACCACAAAUAAAUAAAUUUAAGUAUAUUAACUAAUACAUGUUGAUGAAGUUGAUUUAGCUAUUCCACAAUGAACACAUUUAUCAAAACAUUCUGUUGUUCAUCAUAAAUGCACACAAUUUAUUUAUCAAUUAGCUUUAAUUCAUUCAUCUUUUAAAGGAAGUCAUUGUCCUUAUGUAAGUUCGCAGAAAGCUCACUGCAUACUUUUUGUUAGCAAAAUUUCUAACCAUUGCCCUCAUUGUUGGCAGAAUGCACAAAAGCCGCUUGUAGUAACUGUGCUCUAAGUUCACCAAAGAGCCAAGUUUCCUAUAUAAAAUGAAAGCAAGAUAAAUAGCUAAACCUGACCAUGCUCCCUGUUUACUUGACAGCUGCCCUUCCCAAAGCCUGCCAGGAAUGCAGGGGUGCAAAGCCCACUCAUGAACACAUGGUUGAACAAACACACUCAGCAGGCUGGGGCAGGAGGCUGGGCUCGCAGGAUGAACAAGUGUGAGGAUGAACUUGUUCCAGCUCCUCAAAGGAGUGAUCACUCAAAUCCAGGAGGAGAACACAGAGGUCUGCAAGAGGAGGAAGGAAUGCGAUCUGGGAAGAGGGUGAUGAGACACAGUAAGAGGCACCUCUCCUGGAGUCAGUGCUACCCAAGAAGAAGCCCCA
rnacentral:lncRNA from 1 species